UAGCGCCGUGGAACCACCUGAUCCCAUGCCGAACUCAGAAGUGAAACGCGGUAGCGCCGAUGGUAGUGUGGCAUUCGCCAUGCGAGAGUAGGACACUGCCAGGC
rnacentral:rRNA from 8 species